AAACAGGAAACAUCUGUUUCCGGUGAUUGCUGCUUGAAGCAAGGUUGCUAAGACAACCAGUAGUUUCCAGCUGGCCUGGACAGGGAUCAGCUAAGGAACAUUCUCGAAGCUUCCAGAAACUUCCAGAAAGGCCACCUCACGUGCCGGUGAGGUAAUUCCGAUGAGAAUUCGGAUUUUGGAACAAAGGAGAGCCGGUCACUCGACUUGUUCAACCAAAUAGGAUUUUAGACCUUAAGUCUCCUCUCUUGUUCUGUGUGGGAAAACGGCAUU